GACAACUUGGUCCUCUACCACGAGUGCGACUGGGACGCCCACGGCAGCUGCUCCAUCUCCACCACACAAGAUCGCACCCCGAUCGAGGGCUUCUCCGGCUGCCCCUCCCUGUACAGUUCAUCCAGAUCUAGGAGAUUCAUUCCGGUUUUCGAUGGCUUAGCCUCUCGUAAAUGAAGACAACAAUCGUGGCGAUGAAGCCAAUCUGUUUGAAUUGAUUGCGUAUUGUGAGCCGUAUAAAUCAUAUUUUAGUGCAUUAUGGUGUAAUUCUUGUUGAUCUGAUUCUCUCCAGCAAGAACAGUGCUUGGAAGUAGAACUUGAAAAAAACAGCUUCAUGGUAAGAUGUUUUUCUUAUUAUUAUGUUUCAUGUCCAUCAGAUAAUUGGGAAGCUGAUAAGAUAUAAGUAGUGGAUUACUCGGGUUCCUAUAUUCAAUGUUAGGUCUACUUGUGAUUUGUUAAUUUGUUGCCGAGUGUUGUUCUUUUCCUUUUUGUUCUCUGGAUUGAUUAUCAAUUUGAUAUUUACCCUACUUUGACUUGUUUUUUGCUACAAGCUUUAUGUUUAUAUUCAUGAUUGUUUGUUGAAAAGGAAAUUGACUGCUUCUGCAAAUACAUUUAUGAAUGAAGGGAAGGUUGCUACAG